AGGGGGAGGGUGGCCGAACCCCCCGGGGCGUGCAAGGGUCGUGUUUUAUGGGCAAAAACACGUGGAUUUGAGUGGGAUCCAAGAGGUUGGCGCACGCCCCUAGGCAAGACGUAGCGGUUGGCUCAGUCGGAUGACGUUUCCCUGUAACCAUCACCGUAAACCGGUCCUUUAGUAUCCGUACGGGGAUCUGGGUCUGAGGUGUAUUGCAUGAGGUGUAGCACCAUGAAAUUGAUGAUUUGAGCUCCGCCGCGCAACAACGUGUUAAUCCGGUGUCAUCCACGAUACUUGGGAGCCGUUGCCCCGGUCAUGUAAACGUUCCCAGUCGGUAUGAUUCCUCAAAAAGGUGAUUGCCGCGUUACGUUUUUCGUGUUCCAUGUGGGCUACUUCUCCUCAGUCGCUCUGGGUGGUCAUCCAUGUUAACCACGGAUAAUGCGCUUAUCCGGUGUCGUCCACGAUACUUGGGAGUCGCCGCCCCGGUCUCGUAAACGUUCCCAGUCGGUAUGAUUCCCCAAAAAGGUGAUUGCCGCGUUACGUUUUCGUGUUCCAUAUGGGCUACUUCUCCUCAGUCGCUCUGGGUGGUCAUCUGCGGUAGGCACAUUCCGUCGCCUCUAGUCCCUUCAGAGAAAUGUUGCCCCAUGACGGUAUCGUUAUUGGUGUAACACCCGCGCGUCGUGGACACUCAGGACGCCUUCGUGCAGGCCAUUCCCCCGUGCUAUGCGUGGGGGGAGGCUUGGUUGGCUUGACCGAUGUGGAUACGCGAGCGGAUGAGUAGCUUUGGACCCGUGUCUGUUGUUAGAUCCCCCGUCCUCGUGCGGCCGACUAGCGACGCCGUGUCCCGUCAUUUGUGUGGCUUAUGUUACUGUUGCCUUUCAAGUGCUUGCGUGCAUGUACCCGACCUACGGGAAGUGGUGCUUUGUACACGCUUGCCUCGCGGCGGACACCUCUGGGUGUUCCGCUGUGGCCUAAUGGCGCUUGCGGCGUUACCUCGUGGUACUGGCACGUUCCGUGCUCGGUGCUAUCAAGGAAGCCUCG
rnacentral:misc_RNA from 1 species